CCCUCCUAGCCAACCUUCUUUCCAAGGCUUAAAACACACCAAAAAAAGAGUACCACACGAAUUAGGGUUUUAUUGAGCUCUCACAGACUGUAAAGAGGCCAAAGGAGGCUUAGGCCUCCUUAAAUAGGGUGCAAAACCCCGAGAUUUAGGGUUUCCUCUACCAGCUCCUACUCGUCGAGUCCCUCCCUGGACUCGGCGAGUAGGUCACUAAACACGCGGUCCCACCCCGCUGCUACUCGACGAGUAGGGCAACCAACUCGUUGAGUAAGACUUAAAACCAAAGAACCUUUUAUUUAAAUCCAUACCUGAGAAUCGGGGCGUUACAUACUUAACUGCAAAAAUAUCAAAAAAAAAA
rnacentral:lncRNA from 1 species